UACAGAGGGGGCAAGCGUUGUUCGGAAUUACUGGGCGUAAAGAGCUCGUAGGUGGUUUGUCGCGUUGUCCGUGAAAACUCACAACUCAAUUGUGGGCGUGCGGGCGAUACGGGCAGACUGGAGUACUGCAGGGGAGACUGGAAUUCCUGGUGUAGCGGUGGAAUGCGCAGAUAUCAGGAGGAACACCGGUGGCGAAGGCGGGUCUCUGGGCAGUAACUGACGCUGAGGAGCGAAAGCGUGGGGAGCGAACAGG
rnacentral:rRNA from 1 species